GGGGAAUAUUGGACAAUGGGCGCAAGCCUGAUCCAGCCAUGCCGCGUGAGUGAUGAAGGCCUUAGGGUUGUAAAGCUCUUUCACCGAUGAAGAUAAUGACGGUAGUCGGAGAAGAAGCCCCGGCUAACUUCGUGCCAGCAGCCGCGGUAAUACGAAGGGGGCUAGCGUUGUUCGGAUUUACUGGGCGUAAAGCGCACGUAGGCGGUUUGUUAAGUCAGGGGUGAAAUCCCGGAGCUCAACUCCGGAACUGCCUUUGAUACUGGCAAGCUAGAGUCCGGAAGAGGUAAGUGGAACUCCUAGUGUAGAGGUGGAAUUCGUAGAUAUUAGGAAGAACACCAGUGGCGAAGGCGGCUUACUGGUCCGGAACUGACGCUGAGGUGCGAAAGCGUGGGGAGCAAAC
rnacentral:rRNA from 1 species